rnacentral:tRNA from 1 species
GCCUCCAUAGCUCAGUGGCAGAGCGUCUGUCUUGUAAACAGAAGGUCUGUGGUUCGGUCCCGCAUGGAGACA